GACGAACGCUGGCGGCGUGCUUAACACAUGCAAGUCGAACGGAAAGGCCCUGCUUGCCGGGUCCUCGAGUGGCGAACGGGUGAGUAACACGUGGGUGCUCUGCCCUUCACUUCGGGAUAAGCCUGGGAAACUGGGUCUAAUACCGGAUAGGCGCCAUUUUUAGUGUGAUGGUUGGAAAGUUUUUUCGGUGUAGGAUGAGCUCGCGGCCUAUCAGCUUGUUGGUGGGGUAAUGGCCUACCAAGGCGGCGACGGGUAGCCGGCCUGAGAGGGUGGACGGCCACAUUGGGACUGAGAGACGGCCCAGACGCCUACGGGAGGCAGCAGGGGGGAAUAUUGCACAAGGGGCGCAAGCCGGAUGCAGCGACGCCGCGGGGGGGAGGACGGCCUUGGGGUUGAAAACGCCUUUCGCGAGGGACGAAGCUGUUUGUGACGGUACCUAGAGAAGAAGCACCGGCUAACUACGUG
rnacentral:rRNA from 1 species